ensembl:misc_RNA Metazoa_SRP Metazoan signal recognition particle RNA
GCUGGGCGCGGGGUCGCGCACCUGUAGUCCCAGCUACUUGGGAGGCUGAGGCCGGAGAAUCGCUUGAGUCCAGGAGUUCUGGGCUGUCGUGCGCUAUGCCAAUCAGGUGUCUGCACUAAGUUCGGAACCAAUAUGGUGACCUCCCGGGAGCGGGGGACCACCAGGUUGUCUAAGGAGGGGUGAACUGGCCCAGGUUGGAAAUGGAGCAGGUCAAAUCUCCUGUGCUGAUCAAUAAUACAAAUAUGUAUGGAUUUCAGAAAUUUUGCACCAAAGUGAACUUAUCUUUU